GGGAAUUAACACUGUUUAAAAUAAUUCAUAAAACGGCGAACCGUUUGCGUGUCAAACGUCGACCGCUUAUCGUCUUAUCGUCGUAACGAAAAGUGUACCACCGUGUCACACACCGAAUUCGUCCUCGCCGGCCAGCGACCGCUCGAGAUUGCCGCGUCGACGGUUCGAAUCUACGGGCGCGGGCUGUUCGUCGUGACACUGCCGAAACGAUUGAAUGUCGUGCGGUUCGUGAGACGGACGCGUGCCGGUGUCUUAACGCCCUGCUUAACGGGACUGAUUGUUCGCACGCGCUACGACACCGAUCGGAUACGUACGCGAAAAAUGCGCGAUGAAAGGAAAAUCCGAAAUACGCGAGAAAUAAAACGUGUUAUCGCCUCUCGCGUACCGUCGGAUCGCGAAACGUAUUUCGGUGUAUACAAACUGUAGCCGUAGCUAGGUGUGUGUUGGGCGUGCGUUUAUUUUCCCCCGUCCGCCCGGGGGCGGACUUCGUAAAACACGUAACCGCGGCGAUCGAGAAAAGGCUCGGGAGAAAGAAUCACGGCAGCCGACCUUUUAAACGCGCGUUCCGUACAAAAUCUAUUAU